rnacentral:rRNA from 1 species
GAUGAACGCCGGCGGUGUGCCUAAUACAUGCAAGUCGUACGCACUGGCCCAACUGAUUGAUGGUGCUUGCACCUGAUUGACGAUGGAUCACCAGUGAGUGGCGGACGGGUGAGUAACACGUAGGUAACCUGCCCCGGAGCGGGGGAUAACAUUUGGAAACAGAUGCUAAUACCGCAUAACAACAAAAGCCACAUGGCUUUUGUUUGAAAGAUGGCCUUGGCUAUCACUCUGGGAUGGACCUGCGGUGCAUUAGCUAGUUGGUAAGGUAACGGCUUACCAAGGCGAUGAUGCAUAGCCGAGUUGAGAGACUGAUCGGCCACAAUGGAACUGAGACACGGUCCAUACUCCUACGGGAGGCAGCAGUAGGGAAUCUUCCACAAUGGGCGCAAGCCUGAUGGAGCAACACCGCGUGGGUGAAGAAGGGUUUCGGCUCGUAAAGCUCUGUUGUUGGAGAAGAACGUGCGUGAAAGUAACUGUUCACGCAGUGACGGUAUCCAACCAGAAAGUCACGGCUAACUACGUGCCAGCAGCCGCGGUAAUACGUAGGUGGCAAGCGUUAUCCGGAUUUAUUGGGCGUAAAGCGAGCGCAGGCGGUUGCUUAGGUCUGAUGUGAAAGCCUUCGGCUUAACCGAAGAAGUGCAUCGGAAACCGGGCGACUUGAGUGCAGAAGAGGACAGUGGAACUCCAUGUGUAGCGGUGGAAUGCGUAGAUAUAUGGAAGAACACCAGUGGCGAAGGCGGCUGUCUGGUCUGCAACUGACGCUGAGGCUCGAAAGCAUGGGUAGCGAACAGGAUUAGAUACCCUGGUAGUCCAUGCCGUAAACGAUGAGUGCUAGGUGUUGGAGGGUUUCCGCCCUUCAGUGCCGGAGCUAACGCAUUAAGCACUCCGCCUGGGGAGUACGACCGCAAGGUUGAAACUCAAAGGAAUUGACGGGGGCCCGCACAAGCGGUGGAGCAUGUGGUUUAAUUCGAAGCUACGCGAAGGACCUUACCAGGUCUUGACAUCUUGCGCUAACCUUAGAGAUAAGGCGUUCCCUUCGGGGACGCAAUGACAGGUGGUGCAUGGUCGUCGUCAGCUCGUGUCGUGAGAUGUUGGGUUAAGUCCCGCAACGAGCGCAACCCUUGUUACUAGUUGCCAGCAUUAAGUUGGGCACUCUAGUGAGACUGCCGGUGACAAACCGGAGGAAGGUGGGGACGACGUCAGAUCAUCAUGCCCCUUAUGACCUGGGCUACACACGUGCUACAAUGGACGGUACAACGAGUCGCAAGCUCGCGAGAGUAAGCUAAUCUCUUAAAGCCGUUCUCAGUUCGGACUGUAGGCUGCAACUCGCCUACACGAAGUCGGAAUCGCUAGUAAUCGCGGAUCAGCAUGCCGCGGUGAAUACGUUCCCGGGCCUUGUACACACCGCCCGUCACACCAUGGGAGUUUGUAACGCCCAAAGUCGGUGGCCUAACCUUUAUGGAGGGAGCCGCCUAAGGCGGGACAGAUGACUGGGGUG